CGCCUCCAGAAAGAAUGUUAUGAAGUUGCCACAUACUCACAUGCUGGCAAACGGAGCAGACUUGAUCUCCAUCUGAGCCUAGUAACUGCCUUUCAUCCUCGUCAGCACAGCUCUGCUUCUGAAGUGACUUAUUUUAUCCUAACCGUGUGAUCCGAGGUUUGUGUCCCUUUUACCUGAGCAUCCAUGAUGCAGGUGAGAAGCAGGUGUGUUUUGGACAAUCUGGAUUGCACAAAGUGAUCUUUCUCAGUGACUGCUUUAAAUUGCCCCCCAACAACAUAUGGAACUUCUCUGACCAGGGAUUGAACCCAUAAUCUCACAGUGAAAGCAUGGAGUCUUAACCACUGGACCACCAGGGAAGUUCUAUAAUUGAAAAUUCUUUCUUUCUCCCUCCCCACCCCACUUUCUCUUUUUCUCUCCUUACCUUAGCAUGACACUUAGAAAGUAUCUGAAUAAAAGUCUAGUGAAAUAGGAAGUAAAUGACUAACAAGCACAGAAGUGUUGGCUUCUAUAUUCUUGUCACUUAAGAAGUGACAUUAUGCAGAAUAGGGUAGUGGUUACAUGCAUAGGCUUUGGGACCAGACUAUCAUGAUUUGACUUCUAACCUCACCAUGUCCCCACAAAUUACCUUUCUGUGC
ensembl:lncRNA